AAAGCUUCGAAUCAUCUGUUCUUGUCAGUUUAAUAUCUGAUAGGUCCCCUAUCUGGGGACCAUAUAUUAAAUCGAUUUUUGGAACAGGGAGAUGGAAUAGGGGCUUGCUCCGUCCACUCCACGCAACGAACUGGUAUUGCAGUACCUCCAGGAUCGGUGCACCCCCU
ensembl:snRNA U2 U2 spliceosomal RNA